rnacentral:rRNA from 1 species
GUGCCAGCCGCCGCGGUAAUACCGGCAGCUCAAGUGAUGUCCCAUAUUAUUGGGCCUAAAGCGUCCGUAGCUGGCUGCGCAAGUCCGUCGGGAAAUCCACUCGCCCAACGAGUGGGCGUCCGACGGAAACUGCACAGCUUGGGACCGGAAGGCUCGAAGGGUACGUUCGGGGUAGGAGUGAAAUCCCAUAAUCCCGCACGGACCACCGAUGGCGAAAGCAUCUCGAGAAAACGGAUCCGACAGUGAGGGACGAAAGCUAGGGUCUCGAACCGGAUUAGAUACCCGUGUAGUCC